rnacentral:lncRNA from 1 species
CUGCCUUCUUUGUUAGAAGCUGCUCUUCACAAGCUGAAGAAAGUUUCUGAGAAGUAUUCAAGCAAAUCUGCCCUUGCUGGUGACUGCCACCAGGUGAGUCAGCAGGUCAAGCAGCUUGAGGAGGAGGCUGCUGUUGUUCUGGAGGAGGUGACCACAUCCAAGGCCACCAUGGGGCGAGUACUGUCUGCAUGGGACUCGUACACCGACUGCUUCAGCUCUGUGCAGGCUUGGCUUUUACAGGGAUCAUCAGCAGCCAGCUCCCAGAGAUCUGAGGCGACGCCUGAAUCCAUCGCUGAGUGGAGCUCCCGGCACGUCCACCUGAACGAGACUGGCAACUUCCUUAUUAAGUCAACUGACCCUCAGACCAGCAGGAACCUGGCAGAUGAGCUGCGGAAGCUCAACCUUCACUGGGAGGAAUUUGUUCAGAAGAACACUUUGGUAAGAAAUCUAAGACUAACUUUGUCUGCCGACGCUUUAAAUUAUACCCUGGGAAAAAA